UACGUAGGGUGCAGGCGUUAAUCGGAAUUACUGGGCGUAAAGCGUGCGCAGGCGGUCUUUUAAGUCAGAUGUGAAAUCCCCGGGCUUAACCUGGGAACUGCGUUUGAAACUGGAAGGCUAGAGUGUGGCAGAGGGGGGUGGAAUUCCACGUGUAGCAGUGAAAUGCGUAGAUAUGUGGAGGAACACCGAUGGCGAAGGCAGCCCCCUGGGCUAACACUGACGCUCAUGCACGAAAGCGUGGGGAGCAAACGGG
rnacentral:rRNA from 1 species